rnacentral:lncRNA from 1 species
AAUAUUACUCUUUCUAUUUGUUUCUGUUUCAUCUUUCCUUUUUUCUUUGUCCAAUGGCUACACAUCUUGAACAGGUUUCAUUUGAACACAUUUUAUAUUUUAUCUGGUUAGGUUAGUAGUAGUAAGUUAAGUUGCUUUAUCAUACAUGGGAAAUCGUAUAUCACUUUUAAGGUUGAGGGAUAGGUGUCAACAGACUGAGCCUGAACCCUUCUGAAAACAUGAAAAAACAUGAGGUAUGGGUUUGGGAUAUGAACCUGGAUUCUGCAAAGUGAUAGGAGACUACUUUAUUAAUUGUAACCAUUUGCCCAACAUUUUAAUUUAUGGAAUCUAUAAUGCUGUUAUUUGGUUUGGCUUUAAAUCUUCAGCAUGGCAGCUAGUAGAAAAGAUAUUUGCAUCAUUACAUCUUUUAUUCUUUACAGAAUAUUAUGAGAAUUUUUUAUAUAGUAUCAGCACAGUGCAUUAUUCAAUUACUACUCUCAACAUGAAGAGUACUAUACAUAAUGCAAUUACCACUUGC